rnacentral:lncRNA from 1 species
UUAUUCAACAAAAACAAAUACAAUAUAAAAUAAAAUAUACAAAAUAUUAUAUACAUCAUUUAAAAUCAUUCACAUUACAACAUUACAAUAUAAGAAGAGAUAUUUUACAACAUUAUAAUCAUUCACAACAUUACAAUUGGUCUGGGUUAUGUAGGUGUAGAUUUCACAGCGUGUCUUGCUGAAGGUGUUGCACUCUCAGAGCUACCUAGCAAAGCACAAAUGCAACUACCAAAAGAAUAACAGCUCAACCUCCCAUCCCAACAUGAUCCAAGACCAAGUGCAGUAGGAGCAGAACCACACACAGGCAAGAGAAAAUUGCACAAGUCCACAGCAGCAGUAGGAACACAACAACGCUGCAGCAACAGCUGUUAAGGUCCACAUUAGCAGUAAAAGCAACCCGCAGAACCAAGCAAGCAGCACAAACACAGCAGCAACAAACAGCCCUCCCACGCAGCACACAACCCUACCAAAUCAGCUCAACAACACAACACAUAGCAACAGCCAGCAGCAACACACAGUCCAUAGCAUAUAGCAGCAGGCAUCAACACACAGUCCAUAACACAUAGCAGCACUGCACACAGCAGCAACAGCUAGCACACAGUCAGCAGACAGUUAGCAGCAUUGCACACAAUAGCUCAGACAACCCAUCCCCCAGCACAGUCAGCACAUGACACAUAGCAGCACAUCCGUCCAGCAUAGACAGCAGCACAACAUAUAACAUCGGGUUAAAAACCCCAGCUACAUAUGAAACCCAAAAUAAAUAGCAGUCAACCAACUGUAGCAUCCCAGCAAGCAAACCAGAACCCGAGCAGCAACAUAGACUAUAUGAGCCAGCAGUACAGAAACCUGCCGAGCAACACGACACUCUGCACAGUACACACAACCCAGCACAACACAAAGCUACAAAUAGAAGUGCAGCACAGCCAGACAACAGCUAGCCCAAACCAACAUCUGCAAACCCACAGCAGUAGGAAGCACCACACGCAGCGCUACUUUCAUGUAUAGUAGCCAUCCACCUGGAUAAAAGGGAUACAUCUUUUGUGACAUGAAAUAGUAGAGCAGACGUUUACAUAAGAUGACAAACUUAAUAGACAUACUAAAAUAAAUCAGCUCAAGUCAAAUGUAGUGAAUAGCUUCAUUAAUUAAUUACUGAUAUCCAUAUAUCAAACAAUCAAGAGCAAUACCACUAUUUCCUUUAAUGAAAGAAAAAUGCUUUCAAGUGAAAAGUCUAAUUAGUGAACUUUUGCCUCCACAGCCUGCAUGUAAAAGAUAUUAUCAAGAACUGGAUUAAAUUUAUUUAAAUAAUAAAUAUAAUAAUCAUUCCGAUCAUUUGUUUAUAGGACAUAUCUGUAUUCUAUAUAUAUAUACACAUUAUUUCAUAAAUAACUCGAAUGCUCUUCAUAGCUCCACUUUGGAUAUCCACAAAAUAUUAUUCAUGAGAAGAGGAGGGUGCAACCAACAUAUCACUUGCAUUUACUUAUAAAAAUAUAUAUAUUUUUAAUUUUCCAUUACACAAGAAUAAUUUUGUAGAAAAAGUUGCCUAAUUGACAUUUUGUAGAAAAACAUAACCUUACAAAUAAUUAUAAUUUCAGAAUGUCUUCAAUUUACAAAUAAUUAUAAUUUCUCCCGGGAAAUAUAUGAAGUACUCCAGAUUACCUCGUAAUGCAGAACGAGUACCAAUUUUAAUCUUGAUGCCAUCAGUUGCUUGCAAUAUGCCAUCAGUUGCUUGCAAUAAUUUUAAGUCUUGAAAAUUGCUUAAACCAGAAAACCUGUAGGCUAAAACUCAAAUGCAAUCAAAGAAACCAAGGCAAUUGAAAAAAUCAAAAUGCUUACAAUUAAGAAAUGUUUCAGCUUCAACAACUUUUUUACAAUCAGAAAACAAUUUGAAAGCAUCAAAUAACAAAGAUGGGUGCAUCAAAAGAAAGCAUCUUCCAGUGAAGUUAAAGCAUUUUGCACACUGCCUUAACCUCUAUUUCUUAACCUCAUAUUUCAGCUUCGACUCGUUAUGCUCAGGAGCUUCAACAAAGCCCUAAAGUCUCUUGCUGCCUCAAACUUGAACCAUUAUUAUUAUGCUAUAUUUGAUAUAGCAGAAUAUAUUGCACAAAAGCAAAGGGCACAUAUAAAAACAGUAAGAUUUAACAAUAUUUUGAAAAUAUCAAACCCAAAUUAUAAAUAAAGUGGAAGAAUCAACGACACAAAAUUUUCUUUAAAAUUCAAAGAUCUAAAAAUUAAUGUCAAUCUAUUAUACCCAAAAUUAAUUUUCUUUCCAAUUAGAUAUUAUACCUUCAAUUUCAUUAAAACUCAACAAUUUCAACUCAAUAACUUAAAAUGGAAAACAUUCACUGAUCCUGCCUACAUAAAAACCUGUAGAAAUCCAAAAUCAAUAAAAAAAAUCAUCAGAGCUUGAAGAAAAAUCGAACCUUCAUCACAAACAACACAUAAUCAACAGAGAGUACCCCCAAAUGAUAGAGAAUUCAAGUGUAACCCAGGAAAAAUACCAUCAACACUUCCACUAUAUAUCUAUCAAUCAACACAAAUAAAAAGCCCUAUAUAAUAAACCCCCAAAAGUUCAUGAAACCCAGAACACAGUCAAAAAUUAUUCACAAUUUUGUUGAACAACUCACUUCCCUCGCUAAUUCGUUUCGCUUCUCGAUCUCUAUCACAAUCUUUCUGUUUGUGCUUUGAUUGGAGGAACCUUCGAUUGAGAGAAGCCUUUGGUUCGAUUGACCUUCGAUUGAGAGUGGCCGUACUUAGGGUGUGAUUCGGCUAAGAAUAUUUAGGUUUUGGCAAUUUAGAGUAGCUGAUGAGAGAGAUUAAAUGAUUUAGGUUUUGAGAUGGGGAGUCAGAGGAUUGAGCUAGAACACGAUACAGAAUUGAAAUGAAUUGGGGUGGGGGGAAUGGGAGGGUUUUGUGCAACCAUCUCAUGACCCUCGCUAAAAAGGCCCAAAAAAUGCUCUAUAUCGACGGCCAGAAUAUGACCCUCAGAAUAGGCUCUCUAUUGAGACAUAUAUCAGCGGUUGGUCCGUGACCGUCGCUAUAGAAGCCUAUUGCUACGGUUCCGUGCCGACCGUCGCUAAAUCUCGUCGCAAUAGGUCGAAUUUCUAGUAGUGAAUACAUCAAAAUUUCCAAAUCAUAUUCAAAAUCCAAAUUAAUCAAAACAAGAUAUAUCAAAUUCUAAAUUCUUCCAAAUCAAAUACAUCAAAUUGCAAAGGGGAUCAAAUCAAAUAUAUACAUAAAAUUCCGAAUUCUUCCACAAGCAUUUUUGAAAACUUUCUGGUAAAACAUACUCAUGCAAAUGCUUAAUUAGAGUGAACAAUUUCACUUGGAUCUUCACCCAAUAUUCCAACCUCAACCCUUUCUUCUAAUUGUAUAUUUUCAUUUCAGGGUUCAACAUGCACAUUAUGUGAGGCAAUUCUACGAUAAAGCGGUUCAUAGCAUUGUAACAAACAAGGAGAGAACGGAGAGAACUCUAUAUAGCCACGAAAAUAGGUACUAAAAACACAAUCAAGAAAAGAGAAACUACCGAUUGCGAACAUAAAAUGGAGGUACUUCAAAAUUCAUGUAAUAUAGAAAUAAUGGGAAAUAGAUUGUGAACUAGGGUUUUAGAUAAGUCAUGAAAAAUCACAAUAGAUUUAGAUUUGUGAGAUUACUUACCGAAUAAAUGCUGAUUAUUAAUUUGUUGUAGUCGCAAAAUUUAGGACGAACAAAGGACAAUUUCCACAACUUAAUUGCAGCCGAUUUACAGAGCAAUCGACUAGGGUUCUUGAGCAAUCAACAAAUUCCUUCAUUCCCCUGUUGCAAAGUUUUGUUACCUUUUCUCACUUUUUUCCCAAUUCGUUGCGUGGACCUGAUCUGACUUGGCUAAGUGGAGGCAAAAGUGGGAAAAAAAUUCAUUAACCAUGUUCUCUAGUAUUACUAGCGGACAGUGUGUAUCCAGUUUCAAUCGCACCCCUUCAUUUAUGGAAUGGAAGGUGUAGAUGCUAUAUGCCACUUUUUUGAUCCAUAACAAAUAGAUGUUAUGGAUUAUAUUCAGAUAAAAAUAAUUGUUGAAAUACAUAUAUCACCUCUCGUUAAGUUAUUGAUAUAUCUUUUAAGCAUGUUGCCUCAUAAC